UAGGGAAUCUUCCACAAUGGGCGCAAGCCUGAUGGAGCAACACCGCGUGAGUGAAGAAGGGUUUCGGCUCGUAAAGCUCUGUUGUUAGAGAAGAACGUGCGUGAGAGCAACUGUUCACGCAGUGACGGUAUCUAACCAGAAAGUCACGGCUAACUACGUGCCAGCAGCCGCGGUAAUACGUAGGUGGCAAGCGUUAUCCGGAUUUAUUGGGCGUAAAGCGAGCGCAGGCGGUUUGAUAAGUCUGAUGUGAAAGCCUUUGGCUUAACCAAAGAAGUGCAUCGGAAACUGUCAGACUUGAGUGCAGAAGAGGACAGUGGAACUCCAUGUGUAGCGGUGGAAUGCGUAGAUAUAUGGAAGAACACCAGUGGCGAAGGCGGCUGUCUGGUCUGCAACUGACGCU
rnacentral:rRNA from 1 species